rnacentral:rRNA from 1 species
GACGAACGCUGGCGGCGCGCUUAACACAUGCAAGUCGAGCGAAGCGGCGGACGGGUGAGUAACACGUGAGUAACCUGCCUUAGACAUUGGGAUAGCCUCGGGAAACCGGGAUUAAUACCAAAUGGUCUAAGAUGGACUCGCGUCCCAUUAGCUAGUUGGUGGGUAACGGCCCACCAAGGCGACGAUGGGUAGCCGGCCAGAGAGAGUGGACGGCCACAUUGGAACUGAGAAGCAGUCGAAAAUCUACGGGAGGGAGCAGAGGGGAAUAUUGCACAAUGGCGGGAACGCUGAUGCAGCGAGGCCGCGUGAACGAAGAAGGCUUUCGAGACGUAAAGUUCUUUUAUAUGAGCGGCGGUACCAUAAGAAAAAGCCCCGGCUAACUACGUGCCAGCAGCCGCGGUAAUUC